GAUGAACGCUGGCGGCGUGCCUAAUACAUGCAAGUCGAGCGAACAGACGAGGAGCUUGCUCCUCCGACGUUAGCGGCGGACGGGUGAGUAACACGUGGAUAACCUACCUAUAAGACUGGGAUAACUUCGGGAAACCGGAGCUAAUACCGGAUAAUAUAUUGAACCGCAUGGUUCACUAGUGAAAGACGGUUUUGCUGUCACUUAUAGAUGGAUCCGCGCCGCAUUUGCUAGUUGGUAAGGUAACGGCUUACCAAGGGGGCGAUGCGCACCCGACCUGAGAGGGGGGUCGCCCACACGGGAACUUAGCCGCGGUCCAGGCGCCUACGACAGGCAGCAGUCGGCAACGUUACGCAGCAGGCGAGAGCAUGACACAGCAACGGCGCGUGUGUGACGAAAGCGUCGGGAGCGUAAAACUGUGUUAUUGGGUAAGAACAAAUGUGAAAAUAACUAUGGACAUAGUGACGGUACCUAAACAGAAAGCACCGGCUAACUACGUG
rnacentral:rRNA from 1 species